rnacentral:rRNA from 1 species
UACGGAGGGUGCGAGCGUUGUCCGGAAUCACUGGGCGUAAAGGGCGCGUAGGUGGCGCGGUCAGUCAACGGUGAAAGUUCGGGGCUCAACCCUGAAUCGGCCGUCGAUACUCCCGGGCUUGAGCACUGUAGAGGCAGAUGGAAUUCCGGGUGUAGCGGUGGAAUGCGUAGAGAUCCGGAAGAACACCGGUGGCGAAGGCGGUCUGCUGGGCAGUAGCUGACACUGAGGCGCGACAGCGUGGGGAGCAAACAGG